AGAGUUUGAUCCUGGCUCAGAACGAACGCUGGCGGCGUGCCUAAUACAUGCAAGUCGUGCGAGAAAGCCCGCUUCGGUGGGUAAGUAAAGCGGCGACCUGGUGAGUAACACGUGGAUAAUCUACCUUUAAGUUGGGGAUAAGCUUCCGAAAGGGGGUCUAAUACCGAAUAACAUCGUUUGAUGGCCUCAUCAGACGAUCAAAGGCGGCGCAAGCUGUCGCUUAGAGAUGAGUCCGCGCUCCAUUAGCCAGUUGGCGGGGUAAAAGCCCACCAAAGCUACGAUGGAUAGCCGGCCUGAGAGGGUGUACGGCCACACUGGAACUGAGAUACGGUCCAGACUCCUACGGGAGGCAGCAGUAGGGAAUAUUGCGCAAUGCCCGCAAGGGUGACGCAGCGACGCCGCGUGGGCGAUGAAGCUUCUUGGAGUGUAAAGCCCUGUCAGGAGGGACGAAUGGUUGCAGUCGUAACUGGCUGCGAUUUGACGGUACCUUCAGAGGAAGCUCCGGCCAACUCCGUGCCAGCAGCCGCGGUAACACGGGGGGAGCGAGCGUUGUUCGGAAUUACUGGGUGUAAAGGGCUCGUAGGCGGGGAAGAAGGUCGAAUGUGAAAACUCAUGGCUUAACCAUGAGCCUGCAUCCGAAACCACUUCUCUUGAGUAUCGGAGAGGAUAGCGGAACUCCUGGUGUAGCGGUGAAAUGCGUAGAUAUCAGGGGGAACGCCGGUGGCGAAGGCGGCUAUCUGGCCGAAUACUGACGCUCAGGAGCGAAGGCCGGGGGAGCAAACAGGAUUAGAUACCCUGGUAGUCCCGGCAGUAAACGAUGGGUUACUAGGUGUUGGAGGGAAUUGACCCCUUCCUGCCCCCACCUAACGCAUUAAGUACCCCACCUGGGGAAUACAACCGCCAGGUUUAAAACUCAAAGGAAUUGAAGGGGGCCC
rnacentral:rRNA from 1 species